rnacentral:rRNA from 1 species
GAUAAACGCUGGCGGCGUGCAUAAAACAUGUAAGUCGGACGAGGGGAGGCCGCAAGGCCGAGCCUAGUGGCGGCCGGCUGAGUAACGCGUAGGUGACUUGCCCGAAAGUGGGGAACAACGAUUCGAAAGAAUCGCUAAUUCCGCAUGUGGUUGUGCGUAUAGACACGUGCAACUAAAGCCGUAAGGCGCUAUCGGAGAGGCCUGCGUCCGAUUAGCUAGUUGGUGGGGUAACGGCCUACCAAGGCGACGAUCGGUAGCUGAUCUGAGAGGAUGAUCAGCCAGACUGGGACUGAGACACGGCCCAGACUCCUACGGGAGGCAU